rnacentral:rRNA from 1 species
CAGCCGCCACGGGAAUACAGAGGGUGCGAGCGUUAAUCGGAUUUACUGGGCGUAAAGCGUGCGUAGGCGGCUUCUUAAGUCGGAUGUGAAAUCCCUGAGCUUAACUUAGGAAUUGCAUUCGAUACUGGGAAGCUAGAGUAUGGGAGAGGAUGGUAGAAUUCCAGGUGUAGCGGUGAAAUGCGUAGAGAUCUGGAGGAAUACCGAUGGCGAAGGCAGCCAUCUGGCCUAACACUGACGCUGAGGUACGAAAGCAUGGGGAGCAAACAGGAUUAGAUACCCGCGUAGUCCCUGUCUCUUAUAC